AUAAGCAGUCAAAGGGGGCUGGGAGCUGAGGAGCAGCUGCAACCCUGGGCAGCAGCAGCAGACGGGGGAAUGCCACAGCUGCACACUCCAUGGCACCAGCAGCCAGAGGAGCACCUGUCCCGCACUGCCUGGCUCUGGUGUCCCUUCUCUGACAAGAGG